rnacentral:lncRNA from 1 species
CUAACUUGUGGGCAAAACGAAAUUGCUGUCACACUUGAGCUUGGAUAAGUAACUGCUCAAGAUACUCAACUGUGCUGCCUCUUAACUUGAGGAAAGACCGAUGUUUGUUAGAGAGAGGUUGACCAAGAGGGGGAAGGAAUGGUAGGCAAAAUAAAUGAUCAUAAACAAUAAUGUAAUGUGCAGACAACAGAACACCGGUUUAUACAACAUCUCCUCGUUUCUCUCCACUCUCGCUAAUACAUGUCUCCCUUCCAAUUCAUAGAGGACCAGGAGAAUAAAGAAAUAGAAACGUUAAAUUUGGUGUGCCUCCAUGUGUAAGUAACAGAAAAUUGUGGUGAUGAGACUAUGGUCAGCCUGCAUGUAGAAUUUCACAACUAGACUAAUCAAAAAUCCACAGUAUGUAUUUCACUCUUCAUUUCUCUACUGUCGGUUCUGUCUUAGUUUUGGCAUCAGAUUUUUUGCCAAAGCCAAGUUCGGACAUGUCUUGCUUUGCCAUCUAAUUCCUGCAAUUGCGCUAAUGAAAUAAUCUUUUGCUUAUUGUCUAAAUUCCUAUACUAUGAUGAAUAAUUGUUGUUUAUUAACAUAAGAGUCAGGAUACAUAACUCAAACAAAACACAAAGGACCUGCAUCAACGUGUGUUUAAGUACCACAACAAAGCCUUAUGUUGUUACAAAGGAAAAAGCGAGAAUUUACUUCAGUUUUUCACGUGUUUAGACUACUGCUACUUAUGCCAAGUAACAUAUGUCCAAAUUAAACUAUCACAUGCAGGGGAUGACUUGCAAUAAAUUCAAAAUCAACGAGCACCAAUGUUGUAUUGUUCAUGUCUUCUGUAGAUAUGCAACACAUAUCUGAUAAAAACACCAAAUAGAUGAUUUUUCUUUUGAUAAGUCAGAAAAAAAAAUUGAAGUUGCACUACCAAGUAAUGUGAGAGAACAAGUGUCCUAAUUCCAACUAAUGUGCAUCAUUCCCUACUAGAAGCAUAACCAUAUUAAUUAACUGUUGAGACACGACCAUCUUAGAUGAUUGAUCAUGUUUUACGUCAAGAAACUUUUCACCUUCUGCUCUAGUGGACAAAAUUUAGGCAUAAGUUGCACAAUUCGAGGCUAUAGAAAAUGAAUUUAAAAAUUUGCUAGAUAAAAGUUACACAAACUUGAAUACUUUGAAAGCAGUGACCAAAGCAAGUGCAAGACCUUUGAUGACUACAUUCAGCUGUGUGCUAAAGUAUACUUAAAUAGAAUGAAGCAGUGUUAGAAGUUUUCCAAAUCAAACAAAUGAACUUACUUCUCCAUACGGCACUCCAGGUACUCUUUUCAGAGAGAUGUCUACACCCCUCAGAUGUAUGAAAAUUGAGGUAUACUUUCUUCUUCUAAAAUAUACCAAAAAGAAAGAAACUGAAUCUCCCACAUAAAAUCUAUUAUCUAUCACAACAAAUUCCAUCUUUCUUAAUUAAAAUAGAAAGUGACACAAAAAGACACCACAAAAAUAAAUUAACUACGAGGCUUGAAAGGACUCUACCUGGUCACAUAAAUGCAUGUGAUCUAAUGGGAAAACUCCUUUCUCUAGUGGAACUGGUCUGACUCCUCUAUUUCCACCAAAUGCUCCCCCUUCAAAGAAUUGAGAUAAAUAUUUGAAACUUAAAGAGUAAACAAUAAGGAAACAGAUAUAAAUAGGUCUACAAUUUGCUGCACGUCACUUGUGGCUUUGAAAUAUGUUCAACCUUCUUGUGUUUCCAAAAGAAAAGAAAAAAAUGGUUUUAUGCUACCACUUGAUUAGCACGAAUGACUUAUUUAAGAUUGUCCCUCCAGAAUGUUUUGAAAUAUCUAAAAGACUUUGCACCGUCUCUUUCAUGAUACGGCAUUGAUUGUCCCUCCAAAACAUCUCGUCCUUUUGGCUUCUACUUUCGUUCAUUAGUAAUUGAAAGUCGAAAGUUUUACAAUGAGGACAAAGGAUCAACUAUCAGAGCGAUUUUAAACUUAAAAGCCCCACAGAAUUUAAUUUUAUAAAGAUGGUGUUGGGACCAUUUUGCACACACCACGACUAAUCCACUAGGUACUUGCUACCUCCCACCACACACUUUCUGAGAAACUUUGUCUACUGGCUUACACGAAUGGGGAGAAAAUGCCUAAUUCUUUUCGUUUUACUUGGAAGAACCCUAGUCUUCUAUGAUCAAUUCAAAUUUCAUUAACCUCCAGCCCACAGUAUUGUAGAAGAGAAUGGGACAAAGGAAUUUCUUUAAGGUACGCCAUAUUAUGUCUCUUUAUUUGUAAGAAACUAUCAUAUUAAACUUUAGAGAUCAACUUAUGCAUCUUUUCUUUAGAAUUGGUUCCAAGACAGUUAUUGGAUAUAUCAAGACCACAGAGAGGUAACAUGCACCACCAAAACCAAAGGGGAUAACAUGUUUUUCAUCCAGCGAAUACUAAAAAAUAUGAUGCUCAAGCUCAUAGCAAUUUACUUUGCACGCUUCAAGCACUACUCCAGUGAGGAACAAAUAUUUGACAAAUCUAAUACCCUCUCCGUCCACUUUUACUUGUCUACUAUACCAAAAUUAGAUGCCCACUUACUUAUCAAAAAAAAAAUCCACUUUUACUUGCUCAGUUUGGAAAACCAAGAGAUAAUUUAUAACUUUAGUUCCUAAUUUAAGCUUAUAUUAACUAUAAUGUUUUCUCAAAGCAUUGAAUUUAUUAUAUUCUAAGGAUGGUAUAGUAAAAUUGUCAUUCUAUUUAUUUUAUCAAGGAGAGUGAAGUCAAUACUAGACCAGCAAAAAUGGACAGAGGGAGUAGAUGAAUUCUUACUGCGUAGUAACUAGCUUGGACAAAUUGUUAGCACAAUUCAAAGGUUGACGUUUCAGUAAAUAACAAAUUCAUAAUGUUAAAUAACAGGUCAUACACAUCAACAUUUCCCCAGUAAGUUACAUUAAUCAAACUUACCCAAAAAAAAGAGACAGAAAGAACACAAGCCAAAUGAAACAGAGUAUCAACUCCUUUGGAAUUAAAUAUGACACAUCACUUAAUAAGCUCAAUUUGUGCUUAUUUGAGAUAUUUUUUCAUUGAGAACUACACAAUAGUGAAAAUUAUGCAUACAGUUGGUGGGAAUUUUGAGGAUAAAAUUCACCUGCACUCAUCCCGGAGAAGCUGAUGGAUGUAUCUUUGCCGUAGUCGCCGUGAUUUCGUCAGAAAAUCUGAUAACGACGGAGAAGAGAAGAAUUACAGUCUGGACUUCUAAAACCAACUAGGCAAAGAAGCAAUUUUUAACUGGGCUUCGAUAGGAGGCCCAACACAAGAUGGGGAAUAAAAUUUUCAAGUACGUAUACAAUUUCGGCUGAACCUCUUCCUUGCAAAACUCCAUGUGAUGAUAUAUCAAGAUGCGUGUUGGAAGAGACAGAGCAGGCGGAUUCAAAAAGAUAACCAGGAAUGUCAAGUUACAACUAAAGAAAAAAUUUAAACGGGGUGAAAACAAUUAAUACAACCAACAAAAAGUCAAAAACACAACCAGUAUAUUCCCACCAAGUGGGGUCUGGGGAGGGUAAGUGUACGCAGUCCAUACCACUACCUCAGAGGUGAAAUAUAGAGAGGUUGUUUCCGAUAGACCUUCAAGACAAAACAAUCUAGAACAGGAAUAAUAAAAUGACAAGGUACAAUAGAAAUUAUCACACCCAUUAAUAUCAUAAACAAGACUCACCAAGUAAUACAAAAAACGAUACAACAUUCUGAAAUAAUACUAGCAAUAUAGCUACUACCACAGAUAACAAAGUCAUCCUACCUACUAGCACUGACGCACUCGUCCCUGGUAUUCUUCUACACUACUCCGCCACACCUUUCUAUCUACGAUCAUGUCCUUGAUAAGCUGAAGCUACUUCAUGUCAUGUCUAAUCUUCAAUACUAACAACUUACUUUUUUUCCUGGUGUUUGAUUUCUAACUUGUAUUUCUUACUUACAAUAGCCAGGCAAGGCAAGGCCAGGCCAAUGAAGAGGAGCAGAAAAUUAAUUGAUAAACUUGAAGAGAUAAUUUCGUUUAGAAUUGACAAUCAUUUCUACCUAAGAAUUUGCCAGAUUGGAGUUUUUCUCAUCUUCUACCUCAGGUUGUUGAUUGGGUAAAAGAUGAUUUGAUUCUUCGGUAUUAACCAUAGCUACUUACUACAAAAAACAAAAGGGUAGCUCGGUGCACUAAAGCUUCCUCUAUGCACAUAGUCAGGGCCCUACCACAAGAGUAAAUUUUAUGCAGCCUUACCUUGCAUUUAUGUAAGAGGUUAUUUCCAAAGCUUGAACCACCAUGACAGCAACCUUCACCAUGGCUACUUACUAUAACAGCAAAAAAGGGGUUUAAUGAAAUCAAGAAAAUUUGAGGAAUUUAAGAAAAUGGUGAAGAAAUUUUGGGUAUGUAUAAUCCAAUCCAUAACACAAAGUACAAAAGAAAAAAAAGAGUUGAAUAUGUUGUAAUGUGUGUGGAAUUAAGAAUUGGUCAUUGUUAAAACUUGUGUAUGGGGCCAAACAAGAAGCCAAGAAAUCACAGCCCCAGGUCAAGAAAUUGAAAACUCAGAUCAGAACUCUGACAAGAAAUAACCCAAACUGAAAUAAAAACUUGCAAAUAUGUUGAAAUACUUUGAUUCAAUAAAAGAAUGCAAAAAAUAUUUUAUUUACCUGAAACGGGAUGGUCCGAGUUGCUUAUUGAAGUCGACAGUGAUUGGGAAGAGAGAAAUUACGGUGGAGCGGAGGCUUUUUAUGAAGGCAUGAAAUUGUGGAUGGAGUAGUAAUCUAAAUAAUUGCAACUAAUCAAUUAUUUGUUGUCUAGUAUACUAAUUAUGAUUAGUUUAUAACUUGUUUUCUCCUAUUCUCAAAAAAAAAAAAGGCUCAAAUAUGUGCUAAUAAAGCAAAUUCAUCUGAUUUGCCUUGGCAGUAAUAUUCUGUAGUUAUUCAUGCCUUAUUUAUAAGAGAAAUAUUGUUUAGAUGAAACGUUUGAAUUAGAUAAAUUAAAGGAUUAAAACUUAUUCGCAUCAAAUGUAUAUAUACGCAACUAGUAAAUAAAUGAGACUUGUCAUAUUUUUUAAAUAUAAGUAUUUAAUACUUAACCAUAGUUAUUCAGUUAUUUUCCCCAUAAUCUUAACUAAUAAUAAAAAUAGGAUUAACUUAUUAAAUCUGCUUAACAAUAAGUAGACUGAAUUGUUAAUAUAAUAAGAAGAUUAUUUUAAGAGACAGAUCCCACAUUACCACUCCAUUCUUCCAGAGGGACAUGGCAUGGUCAUUUUUUUAAAAAAUAGCACAUAUUUGAAAAGGUGGACAUGGGCUGUCCAGUCGGCUAAACUAAUUCCUUUUUUUAGCCAUUUGGCCCAAUUGGUCACAUGCAGUCUCUAUACUUAAUUGAUACACUUUUAUACCACAUUGAUAUACUUUUAUACUAUAUUGAUACACCUUUUAAAAAAGAGAAGGAAUAUUCUAUGCAAGCACAUGCAGUCUCUAUACCCAAUUGAUACUCUUUUAUACCAUAUUAAUACACUUAUACUACAUUGAUACACUUACAGUGUCCAUAUACUCAAUUGAUACUCUCUUAUACUAGAUUGAUACAGUUUUAGAAUACAUGUAGAAACUAUAUAGAGUCGUAUAAAAUAUGUAUCAAAAUAAUAAUUGUAGUUAAAAAUUGUAUACAAUGUGUAUAAAAAUGCUAUAAUUAUUAUAUAGAAUAUGUAUAUAUAUAGAAACUAUAUCAUUAUUAUAUAUAAAUAUAUAUCUUUAACAAUUGUAUUAUAUUAAAAGUAUAUGGUAUUGUAGUUUAUUGUAUAAAUAAGUAAAACUACACAAAAUAAGUAAUAUGUUAUUUUAAUAAUGUUGGUGAAUGCAAAAUAAUCUGAAAAAGAAAAAAGAAAUUACUUAAUUAUUUAAAAAAAAAAAAAAUAGAAUCUUUAAAAAAGAAAAGUACUAAACUUAUUAUAAUUCUUUUUAAGUGCUGAUUGAUAGAUCCAUGCAAAAUUUUUUAAAAAAAUGCAAAAAUUAGUCACACAAAAAAUGAAAAGUGUGGUUGCUCAAGGAAAAAGAAAUGGCGGGGAGGUGAGAUUAUAGUAAUUAAAAAGUACUCAACCAUUAAAAAAAAAAAAAUUGCUACCUGUUGUACAUUUGACUUUCUAAACCUUUACUUUUGUCUCCAAGAAAAAAAAACUAAGAAAAAUAUGCAAAUGAGAUGCAAUAGGCAGAAAUUAUGUAUUGCUUCUUUGCCGGAAAACUCUUUCAUUUGCACUGAUCCAUAUGUAGGCCCAAUUUCUUGUUUUCCUUAUUUCAGAAUGUUGUAUCGUUUUUUGUAUUACUUGGUGAGUCUUGUUUAUGAUAUUAAUGGGUGUGAUAAUUUCUAUUGUACCUUGUCCUUUUAUUAUUCCUGUUCUAGAUUGUUUUAUCUGAAGGUCUAUCGGAAACAACCUCUCUAUACUUUUACCUCUGAGAUAGUGGUAUGAACUGCGUACACGUACCCUCGACCCCACUUGGUGGAAAUAUACUGGUUGUGUUUUUGACUUUUUGUUGGUUUGUUGUAUUGGUUGUGUUCGCCCCGUUUAAAUUUUUCCCUUAGUUGUAACUUGACAUUCCUAGUUAUCUUUUCGAAUCCGCAUGCUUUCUCUUCCAAUACGCGUCUUGGUAUAUCACAUGUAGUUUUGCAAGGAAGAGGUUCAGCCGAAAUUGUAUUCGUACUUGAAAAUUUUAUUCCCCAUCUUGUGUUGGGCCUCCUAUCAAAGCCCAGUUAAAAAUUGCUUCUUUGCCUAGUUGGUUUUAGACGUCCAGACUGUAAUUCUUCUCUACUCCGUCGUUAUCAGAUUUUCUGACGAAAUCACGGCGGCAAAGAUACAACCAUCAGCAUCUCCGGGAUAAGUGCCGGAGAAUUUUACCCUCAAAAUUCCCACCAAUUGUAUGCAUAUUUUUCAUUAUUAUGUAGUUCUCAAUGAAAAAAUAUCUCAAAAAAGCACAAAUUGAGCUUAUUAAGUGAUGUGUCAUAUUUAAUUCCAAAGGAGUCGAUACUCUGUUUCAACUUGGCUUGUGUUCUUUCUGUCUCUUUUUUUUGGCUAAUAUUUUGGGUAAAUUUGAUUAAUGUAACUUACCGGGGAAAUGUUGAUUUGUAUGUAUUUGUUUGUGUAUGACCUGUUAUUUAACAUUAUGAAUUUGUUAUUUACUGAAACAUCAACCUUUGAAUUGUGCUAACAAUUUGUCCAAGCUAGUUACUACGCAGUAAGAAUUCAUCUACUCCGUCUGUUCAUUUUUACUGGUCUAGUAUUGACUUCACUCUCCUUGAUAAAAUAAAUAGAAUGACAAUUUUAUUAUACCAUCCUUAGAAUAUAAUAAAUUCAAUGCUUUGGGAAAACAUUAUAGUUAAUAUAAGCUUAAAUUAGGAACUAAAGUUAUAAAUUAUCUCUUGGUUUUCCAAACUGAGCAAGUAAAAGUGGAUUUUUUUUUUGAUAAGUAAGUGGGCAUCUAAUUUUGGUAUAGUAGACAAGUAAAAGUGGACGGAGAGGGUAUUAGAUUUGUCAAAUAUUUGUUCGCUCACUGGAGUAGUGCUUGAAGCGUGCAAAGUAAAUUGCUAUGAGCUUGAGCAUCAUAUUUUUUAGUAUUCGCUGGAUGAAAAACAUGUUAUCCCCUUUGGUUUUGGUGGUGCAUGUUACCUCUCUGUGGUCUUGAUAUAUCCAAUAACUGUCUUGGAACCAAUUCUAAAGAAAAGAUGCAUAAGUUGAUCUCUAAAGUUUAAUAUGAUAGUUUCUUACAAAUAAAGAGACAUAAUAUGGCGUACCUUAAAGAAAUUCCUUUGUCCAUUCUCUUCUACAAUACUGUGGGCUGGUGGUUAAUGAAAUUUGAAUUGAUCAUAGAAGACUAGGGUUCUUCCGAGUAAAACGAAAAGAAUUAGGCAUUUUCUCCCCAUUCGUGUAAGCCAGUAGACAAAGUUUCUCAGAAUGUGUUUGGUGGGAGGUAGCAAGUACCUAGUGGAUUAGUCGUGGUGUGUGCAAAAUGGUCCCAACACCAUCUUUAUAGAAUUAAAUUCUAUGGAGCUUUUAUGUUUAAAAUCGCUCUGGUAGUUGAUCCUUUGUCCUCAUUGUGAAACUUCCGACUUUCAAUUACUAAUGAACGAAAGUAGAAGCCAAAAGGACGAGAUAUUUUUGAGGGACAAUCAAUGUCGUAUCAUGAAAGAGACGGUGCAAAGCCUUUUAGAUAUUUCAAAACAUUCUGGAGGGACAAUCUUAAAUAAGCCAUUCGUGCUAAUCAAGUGGUAGUAUAAAACCAUUUUUUUCUUUUCUUUUGGAAACACAAGAAGGUUGAGCAUAUUUCAAAGCCACAAGUGACGUGCAGCAAAUUGUAGACCUAUUUAUAUCUGUUUCCUUAUUCUUUACUCUUUUAAGUUUCAAAUAUUUAUCUCAAUUCUUUGAAGGGGGAGCAUUUGGUGGAAAUAGAGGAGUCAGACCAGUUCCACCAGAGAAAGGAGUUUUCCCAUUAGAUCACAAGCAUUUAUGUGACCAGGUAGAGUCCUUUCAAGCCUCGUAGUUAAUUUAUUUUUGUGAUGUCUUUUUGAGUCACUUUUUAUUUUAAUUAAGAAAGAUGGAAUUUGUUGUGAUAGACAAUAGAUUUUAUGUGGGACAUUCAAUUUCUUUUCUUAUUUUCUUUUCUUUUUGGUAUAUUUUAGGAGAAGAAAGAAUACCUCAAUUGUCUUAAAUCUGCCGGUCAUAAAUCUGAGGGGCGUAGACAUCUCUCUGAAAAGUACCUGGAGUGCCGCAUGGAGAAGUAAGUUCAUUUGUUUGAUUUGGAAAACUUCUGACACUGCUUCAUUCUAUUUAAGUAUACUUAAGCACAGAACUGAAUGUAGUCAUCAAAGGUCUUGCACUUGCUUUGGUCAAUGCCUUUAAAGUAUUCAAGUUUGUGUAACUUUCAUCUAGCAAACUUUUAAAUUCAUUUUCUAUAUUCUCGAAUUGUGCAACUUACGCCUAAAUUUUGUCCACUAGAGCAAAAGGUGAAAAGUUUCCUGACGUAAAACAUGAUCAAUCAUCUGAGAUGGUCGUGUCUCAACAGUUAAUUAAUAUGGUUAUGCUUCUAGUAGGGAAUGAUGCACAUUAGUUGGAAUUAGGACACUUGUUCUCUCACAUUACUUGAUAGUGCAACUUCAAUUUUUUUUCCGACUUAUCAAAAGAAAAAUCAUCUAUUUGGUGUUUUUAUGAGUUAUGUGAUGCAUAUCUACAGAAGACAUGAACGAUACAACAUUGGUGCUCGAGAUUUUGAAUUUAUUGCAAGUCAUCCCCUGCAUGUGAUAGUUUAAUUUGGACAUAUGUUACUUGGCAUAAGUAGCAGUAGUCUAAACACGUGAAAUACUAAAGUAAAUUCUCGCUUUUUCCUUUGUAACGACAUAAGGCUUUGUUGUGGUACUUAAACACAUGUCAAUAGAGGUCCUUUGUGUUUUCUUUGAGUUAUGUAACCUGAGUUAUGUGGAUAAAUAAAUUGAAUGUAUAAAUAUUUCUAUUCAACAACAGUAUGCAUGUUACAAAGGAAGCCUAUUGGUGUUUCUUCUACAUCUCUAUCUCUAUCAAAUCCGCGACCUUGUCUAAGGGUCGCGAAAAAUGAUGAUCAAAGAAAGAAAAAGGCAAUAUUAUCAAGAAAUAUCGAAGAGUGGAUGAAUGUGUCGAUGGUGGACAUUGUAAAGAAUUUGAAACAAGCUCCAUUGUUUGUCCAUGUUUACGCAAAUGAGAAUGAUGAGAGAGGAGGACAAGUAAGACAAAGACCAUGGAUUAAAAUUGAGAGAGCCAUGUUAGAGAAAUGGCCAAUGAUGAAAAGUGAAUGGGAAAGUGGAAAAACAACCACCCCAGAUGGACUAAUAUUUGUUCAAGAACUUCGCGAUGAUGAUGAGGAAGAAAAUCGAAAUGUGAAUUUAGUUGAAGACUCAGAUUGAAGUGUUGACAAAAUCUUGGGGAGUAAUUGUACAAGAAAAGGGAAUUGAAUUUGGACCUACUUGUUAUUGGUUGAAGACUAGCAGAGUUUUAGGGAUAGUGCUUUGAAACAGUUUAAGAGUUGUUGAUUGUGAGGGGGAAAAAAAGUGUUCUUGUGAGUUGGGACCCCCCCACCUCCCACCCCCACGGCUCGAUGGCUCGGGAACAGUUCAAUUUGAAAAAAAUGGAACGAGGAAAAUAAUAUGACUGUAUUGUUCUAUCGAGAUGAUGAUUCUGCUAGUGUAUGUCCUCAUAAUUCAGUUUCUAAGUGAAUUUGGGUGUCAAAUUGUGAUAGUUUGUAGGCUUUAUUUCUCAUCUCACAUUGAUAUUUACUUUUUGUCAAUUUUAUGUAUAUAUACGUAUCGAUUUUUAGUAUAUACACUUUAUCUAUAGACAUAUAUAAGUAGACUUGUUUGCGAAGUGAUGUUAGAUGAAACCCCUUGGACAGGGUGGUGUUGUGCACGCCAAGAAGAAAAAUCUACAGAAUCCAAUAAUAUGUCUUUCUUUUUACCUGAUAUUGGCCUCUUAGGGAUCGUUUGGUUAUUGGGAUUAGGAUUGUAAUUUCGGCAUAAAAUUUGGAAUUCACCUAAAUGAAAUCCAUGUCUCCUUCAUUUGGGUCGAGAGGGAGAGGAAUUGGACUUUGCCUCUUCUAUUACAUUUACAUUACAUUACCGGGAAGUAUUUAACUCGUAUCAGGUCAAUGGUAGUACCUAUACGUUCUUAUUUGUAACGACAGUGCCGCAACAAUUAUGCCUCAGUACCAACUAAUUCCAAUAGCAACAGCAACCAACUAAUGCAACACAGCAACCCAACAUCACAGACACAAACAAAUUCCAGAAACCAGAAAUUCAAUUAUGCAAAUUCCAGAAAACAGAAAUCAGUGCAAAAUUGCAAAUUCCAGAAACUUGAGAAAAAAAACCCAUAAUUCACACACCAGCAAACAGAUCAGCAAAAAAUCCUAAACCCUAAAAAUAUCAAUUAUGACAACUCCAAUUCACAAAACCCCAAAUUAAUCACCACAAAAAAAAAAAAAAAGUCUUCAACACUUUCAGUCCAAAUACUUCAAACAAACACCUAACAUAGACAUACACCAAAACCCCCAAAUCACAACGAACAUAAAUUAUUACCUGUGAGCGCAACAACAACAGCCGAGCAUCAAAUCGUCUUUGUCCGCCUCUAAUCUCUCGAGUUUUCAGCAAAUGUUAAGCUUGAACCUUGAAUCUCUUUAAUUUUCAGCAAGCCGUCUUUGACCGUCUACUGAUAUUAUCGGUUUGAGAGACAGAGAGAGUGAGAGAGUGUGAGGCGUAGUGACUGACUUUCGAAAUCAGAAAUGAAAUUCAGCAAAUCGUUUUGGGUCUACUGAUAUUAUCGUACUUUGAUAGAAAAGCGCGGAGUGAGAGAGUGAGAGGCGGAGUGAAAUCAGAAACGAAAAAUAUGAAAUGUGAUAAAGUGAAUCUCUUUCUUCCUAGUGUAAGUAAUGACGGUGGGCUGGGCUUGGGAAAUGGGAUUUAAAUAAGCAUUUAAU